AUCACUACAACCUUCAAGCGCGCCACCGCACCGAGGAAGAACACACACACAGCAGCAAUGGGAGCUAGUGGUUCAAUCAACGUCAACAGCGAUGCGCAAGGUUGUAAUAUAGCCAACGCAACAGGCGGCAAAGUGCGUCUCUACCAUAGGUCAGAGAAGAUGGCUCUCUGUGACCUCAUCGAGGGG